rnacentral:rRNA from 1 species
AACGUAGGACGCAAGCGUUAUCCGGAGUUACUGGGCGUAAAGGGCUUGUAGGUGGCCAACUAAGUCAGACGUGAAAUCCCUCGGCUUAACCGGGGAACUGCGUCUGAUACUGGAUGGCUAGAGUUUGGGAGAGGGAUGCGGAAUUCCAGGUGUAGCGGUGAAAUGCGUAGAUAUCUGGAGGAACACCGGUGGCGAAGGCGGCAUCCUGGACCAACACUGACACUGAAAAGCGAAAGCCAGGGGAGCAAACGGG